rnacentral:rRNA from 1 species
GACGAACGCUGGCGGCGUGCCUAAUACAUGCAAGUCGAGCGAAGCGGCGGAUGGGUGAGUAACGCGUGGGUAACCUGCCCUUAAGGCUGGGAUACCAUUUGGAAACGGAUGCUAAUACCGGAUACUAAAGGAUGGACCGUGUAUGCAUUAGCUAGUUGGGAAGGUAACGGCUUACCAAGGCGAUGAUGCAUAGCCUAGUUGAGAGGCUGAUCGGCCACAUUGGGACGGAGACACGGCCCAGACUCCUACGGGAGGCAGCAGUAGGGAAUCUUCCACAAUGGACGAAAGUCUGAUGGAGUAACGCCGCGUGAGUGAAGAAGGUUUUCGGAUCGUAAAGCUCUGUUGUUGGUGAAGCGGUAAUCAACCAGAAAGUCACGGCUAACUACGUGCCAGCAGCCGCGGUAAUUC